GAUGAACGCUGGCGGCGUGCCUAAUACAUGCAAGUCGAGCGAACGGACGAGAAGCUUCCUUCUCUGAUGUUAGCGGCGGACGGGUGAGUAACACGUGGAUAACCUACCUAUAAGACUGGGAUAACUCCGGGAACCCGGAGCUAAUACCGGAUAAUAUUUUGAACCGCAUGGUUCAAAAGGGAAAGACGGUCUUGCUGUCACUUAUAGAUGGAUCCGCGCUGCAUUAGCUAGUUGGUAAGGUAACGGCUUACCAAGGCAACGAUGCAUAGCCGACCUGAGAGGGUGAUCGGCCACACUGGAACUGAGACACGGUCCAGACUCCUACGGGAGGCAGCAGUAGGGAAUCUUCCGCAAUGGGCGAAAGCCUGACGGAGCAACGCCGCGUGAGUGAUGAAGGUCUUCGGAUCGUAAAACUCUGUUAUUAGGGAAGAACAUAUGUGUAAGUAACUGUGCACAUCUUGACGGUACCUAAUCAGAAAGCCACGGCUAACUACGUG
rnacentral:rRNA from 1 species